rnacentral:rRNA from 1 species
AUUGAACGCUGGCGGCAGGCCUAACACAUGCAAGUCGAGCAGAGCGGCGGACGGGCGGGUAAUUCACAGGUAUCUGCCUGGCCGUGGAGGAUAACGUCAGGACACGGGACCUAAUCCCACAUACUAUUAGAUGACCCUAGGUUGGAUUAGCUAGUUGGUGGGGUAAAGGCCUACCAAGGCGACGAUCCGUAACUGGUCUGAGAGGAUGAUCAGUCACACUGGAACUGAGACACGGUCCAGACUCCUACGGGAGGCAGCAGUGGGGAAUAUUGGACAAUGGGCGAAAGCCUGAUGCAGCCAUGCCGCGUGUGUGAAGAAGGUCUUCGGAUUGUAAAGCACUUUAAGUGGGGAGGCGUUACCAACAGAAUAAGCACCGGCUAACUUCGUGCCAGCAGCCGCGGUAAUUC